CGCCGAACUUCCUGUUUCUUUGUGUAAACAACGUUGUGCUCACGCAUCGUCGGAGAAACGCUCUGAACAGCGACGUGUGUGUAUAUCGAGCUGGAGAGCAUGCUAGCUGAUGGCUAACACUUAAAUUAGCGCCCUUGGAACGGCGGAAUGAGACGCUGAUUCUUAUUGACACCUAUCACCACCCACACACCUGACUUGAUGAUGCUGGAUGAGACAAAAGAAAAUGCCAUCAGAACCAUUUAAAAUUAGCUCCACCGUACAACAGAAUCGUCCCCCUGCGAGAUUCAACAUGGCUGCCUGUCCUUGAAGUUCUGUCCUUUAUAAGCAUAUCAAUGGAAAACCAACUGUGACAAACCCACACUGGAGCUGCCUUGUGGCUGGGAAGAGAAUCACAUGGUGGUGCUGAACCAAAUCAUCUGAAGAUACUGCCAUAAGCACCCUGAUCUGACAGCAGAGACACAGAUCCUGCCUCUGACAACUCGGUCUGUCACUUCCAGACAGAAGGGGAAAGGAUGAGAGGGACGGCUGUUUUGGCUGCUUCAGCCCACGGGUUUCCCAGAGACUAUGGGUUGAGGAGGAAUUGGAAGUUUGUCGGCUUAGACCUGGUGUCAUUCCAUCAGUGUUAAACUUCCCGGCUCAUCUUGGAAGAGUACGUGCCAGAAAGACCACGACCAAGCAGCCUUGAGAUCUUAGGCAGCGUCUCCCUCAGACCAAAGAACUACAGACACUUCACAACCUGCUCAAACUCUUGGUACAGGACCUCACCACACGGGUCAAGAAGGUUUCCAUCUCAUUUCUACUCUGAAGAUCACCUUCUCCUGCUCAAACUGCUGACAAAUGAUUCUGCUGCUCUAAAGUCUGGUCUCCAGAACUUCCUAAAAACUCUCAAAGUCUCUUCUGCUGCAGGUUGCUUUGUAGAACUGUUGCAGAAAACCUCACUAAACCACAUGGAGGGGCCUCAAGAUAGUCGUCCAAAUGAAACCAUACAAAAACCAAACUAGUACAACCCAAACACUAAAGUCUCCUGCAGCCUACCAGAGAACCUCUGAGAACAGAGAAUCAGGACAGGAACUCUUACCUUCUGGACAACCAAGAAUACAGAAUGUGUCUGACCAAAAACCUCUAAAGACUCACUACAGCCAAGAUAAAGACACAACUCAGCUGCAGCAAAUCCACUAAUCACUGCACACAUUAACACCAUGUGCUAACUGUGGCUAAAGAACCACGUUUACCAAGACAACUAUCCAGUACAAAGCCCUAAAACACACCAAGAAACACAUUAAAGAUGAUUUUACUGCUGGAAGCUGCAAGCCAACGCCUAAAGAACGAACUAAAGCAACGGAACCAAACCCAGUUCAUUGGUGCACAGAAGCAGAGAAAAUGUGUGUCUGCAGCUAAAUAAAGCAGGAAGACACUGAGCUGCUCAGGUGUUCCUGAUAACACCAAGCUGCUCAGGUGUUCCUGAUAACACCAAGCAGCCACCUGGACAGCCAAUAGGAACACAGCUUACUGGAAGUCCAGAGGGCUGGGUUAGUGAAGGAAAUUUAAUUUAAAGUUGAAGCAGAAAGUUAACAAAGAAAGUUGAAAACCACCUUCUGAUCCCUGAAAUCUCUGAGUUUUCACACUAAGAACACCUGAACAUGUCAAACUGGUUCCAUAGUAGAACCAUCAUUGUAAAAACGUCAUAGUAUGGUGUGUUGCUCAAAAAACAUUAGGACCCAGCUGUCAGGGGACAAACAUGUAAGAAACAUGAGAACAGAGAGAACCCAACCAGUAGGUCACAGUUUAUCAUCCCCCAGUCAUCUCCUGAAGUCCAUAUGGUGAGAGACAUCAGUAUCUGGUUGUUAAUUUACCAGAGGAUGCUUAUAAUCAUGCUGAUGUGGUCUGUACUCUACAGUAUUUUAGUGACUCAAUAAAUGCCUAAGUUGUUUUUUUUUAAAUGCUUUUUAGUUUUUAAUAAGCAUUUAAGAGCCUAUAUGUAAUCAAUAAAUGGCCUUUGCCUAUCUUAAGAAAAAUUCACUAAGAACUCUGAUAUGUUAACAGUACUAAAUAAAUCAAUAAAUACAUGCAUACACACAAAAAUAAGUUAAUACAUUAACUGUGUUAAGAUUUAGAUUUUUUAAAAAGUUGUUUAUGUUUUUGCAGAAUCCAGUAUUGCUCACUGGUUGGUCAUUACAUUUUGUUAGUUUGAUUUCACUGUUUAAAAUGAUGCCACCUCUUUUCAGACAGAACCUGUGAUAAUAAAACAAUACAAAAUUUUUAGUUCUGUGUUAAUAAAGCACUUAAAGCUGUAAGUAUGGCUAAAUGUUUUUCUAAAAAUUAAAUAUACCACUCCUUGGGUGGUAGUGACCCUAAGUUCGGUAAAGUUGGAAAGAUAUUCACAGAUUCGGACUUCCAGCAUCAAUAAUUCAUUAGAUAUAGGUUGUCAAAACAUAAACGGUGCCUCUUUCCCAUUGUUGCAAGGCAGACAAUGUGCUACAAGCCCAGUUUUAUCAAAAGUAGCUGUCUUUCAAGCUACAGGAAUAACAUUGGUGUCUAUGGAGUGAACAGGGUCCGUCUUCAAUUUGCAAAACCGCUGCAACAGUAAAGAGAGACAAAUAUUCAAUAACUUCACUCUUAUACAUUGUAGCGUCACUAAAAUCACUGCAGCCUUCAACUGGCUCCUGUUGACAAAGUGUUUUAACAGAAUUGUCAUGGCAACUGUAAACAUUGUGCGGGAGCAUGCCCGGUUGUCAUGGGAACUGUCUGCGGGAGCAUGAAGGCAGCCGGACGGAGCGCGUCUGCGGGUCACUGGCAACAUUAGCCGAAGAGAGAACUGUACAAAAAUAACAUUAGCAACACAUCAGCAUGUUACAAUCCACAGUUGCUCCAGUGGAGGGGAGGUUACGUCGCUGUGUGCCAAGCCUGCCAGCUAUCAAGCCAGACAGGCUGAAAACCGCUAAAGCACUGGUGGAGAAAGCAGUGAAGUGGAGGAAAGUGUUUUCAGUGCAGGGACCCUUAUCCUGUGAUCCGCGCUGCCUUAUGGGCCAGAGGGUGGGUGGAACGUCAUUUUCCCCAUCCGGUCCAGAGAGCCCCUCAUUACCAUGGCGAUGACGAAGAAGAUGGUGAUGACGGGGAUGGAGGUGCUGAUCUUAGUGGUGAGGCAAAUGGUUUCAGAAGAGAAAAGUCAUGAUGACCUAAUGUCCCUGCCAAUAAGAUCUCUCAAGUCAACAGGUAGAAGUCAUGGCUGUUGUAUUGGAUCACAUUAUAUUGUACAAGUGUUGUUUAUAUUGUACGGUCUUCAGUGGUGGACAGUAGUGAAGUACAUUUACUUGAGUACUGUACUUAAGUACAUUUUGUGAGUAUCUGUACUUUACUGUAGUAUUUGUUUUUUUUGGAAACUUCUGACUUUCACUCCACUACAUUUCAAAGACAAAUAUUGUACUUUUGACUCCACUACAUUUCUAGGAAGGUUGUUGUUACUUUUCGACUAAGCUUUGAAGUCAGCUGUUGCUGUUCUUUCUUUUCUAAAAUGCAGUUGGUCACAUGCUGUGUUCGUCACAAAAGGAAACCGAUCACAGUAGCUCCUCUCAGAUGGGACUGAUGUAAAUGUGGAAAUACGUCAUCCAGGUGCACAGACAAAGUCUGAAAUGUUUGCUAGGUUAGCGUCCCACAUGUUCUUUGGCUCAGCUAAAGCUAACUCUCUCCAACUUCUGGAUCUUUUUAGUUGCUUGUUGUUAAAAUAUCUUGCUAGAGGUGCUGAAGCUCAGAAAGUCUGAGAUGUUUGUUCAAAAUAAGCUCCUUCUCAAGUCUUAUCUGAACUGUCCUCUUUUAUCUCAUUUAUGUAGAGAUUAAACUUCAGUGUCAUUCAUUGAUGUUAAAGUGCAGUUUUUCAAAUGUUUGUUGCACAUGCUCCCGACCAAACCAGUCCAGGUGGAAGACGAUGUGAAGAGAAAGCUCCAGAGGAUGAAUAUCACACAUUUACGUUGGGAAUAAAUGUCCUUUAAUCUGACAUUGUCAUGCAAAAGUUGGAUUUCCCUUUAAUGAUGUUCAAAUCUUUGUUGAGUGUUUUGUUGAUGUUGGUUUCUAAAUGUUUUUUGACACUCGGCCCCAAAGAUUAAAACCUUUUACGGCUCACAAUCUGCAGCAAUUCACACAUUAUCAACUAUCUUUCUGACUAAACUAAGAUAAAAAGUGAAAAACUGCCUGAUUCCUGCAUCAUGAAUGUAAAUCUUUUUGGUUUUUAUGACAGUAAACUGAAUAUAUUUCGGCUUGACAUUUUAUAAACCAAAACAAGAAAUGAAUUAGUGGAAAACAAUCAACAGAUUAAUGGACAAAGAAAAUGUGUUUUCCAACAUAUAUGGCUGAAUUACUCCAACAUUACAAGAUACAUACAAUUUUAAUUUAAUUUUAUUUAUAUAACGCCAAUUACAGGUCAAAUUGUCUCAAGACGCUUUAUUUUUAUAUUUUUUUUGUAUUUUUUAAAAAUAUGACAUAGUAAGAAAUUUAAAGCUCUUGACUAAUCCAAUUUAUUACUUGGUUUUUAAGAGACUAAUGGACAAUUAAAAUAACUUUCUCCACUAAAACUAAUAAACAUGAGGUCAAAUAGAAGGAACAGUUUUAAAUACUGCAGUCCCACGAUGACAAGAAUAAAGUUUGUCAAGAAAAACUAAAUCUGCUGGUGGAUUCCAUUAAAGUCCUAAUAAAUGAUAAUAUAGUGUAAUACUAAAGGUUUGUGGUGCUAAAAAUGUCAAAGAUAUCAAGUUGAACAUGUGGAUGGAGGUUGAUAAAAGUUGACCUCCCUUCAUUUCUCUGGAGUCGACUCCAUGGAUUUUAUGGAUGGUGGUUAAAGACCUGCUCUUCUAGUCAUCGUCCUUCUAGUCGCUGUAAAAAGUCACACCAUCCUCGCCGACUUCAACACCUCUUCAUGACAACUUGUUCUGCCUCCGACCUGGUGGAAACUCCAGAAACUCUGGAAAACCCGUGGAGACUCGAAGAACUCGUGGAGACUCGAAGAACUCGUCGGGCGGGGGAAGGUGUGGUGGGUGGUGCGGGGAGGUGGGGGAGUAGAGGGGGGAGGCCGCCACCCACCUCCCCGCCUACUCUCCGCCCUGACUCCACCCAGACUCCGCCUUGGCCCUGCCCAUGUGGUCACUUCAUGAACUACGAUGUCAAAGGGACGACGAAUUUAUUUCUUUUCAUCUGAUCUGUAGCUCAGUGAGUUAAGGAUUUGCCUAUGGAGCUGCAGGUCGCUGGUUCAAGACCAGACACUUCUUAAAUUUUCUCAAAAUCCUGACAAAGACAAAGAAAGAAAACUGCCCGUGGCGGGUCUUGAACCUGCGACCUUCCACUCACUAGUCUAUCCUCUUAUCCCCCUGAGCUAUUCGCUCAGAUACUAAUUCUUCUUUUUUUUGCGCAUUUAUCAUCUAUUUUUUGUCGUUUUCGAGUUUUUUUUUAACUCGAGUCUUGACUCGACCAUUUUUCUCAGGAGGUUGGACUUCAGCCUUUGUGCUGGAGGGUGGAACCCUCAGUUCCAAGACUUUCCAAAGCCUCCACACCUCCCGAGUCCUCAGGACCUGAGCUUUCACACAGUCUGAGGGCUGAAAUUUUCUAAGUCCCACAGUAGUUCUCUGUUUGUGGUGCUAAAAAUGUCAAAGUAAAGAUAUGAAGUUAAACAUCGGGAUGGAGGUUGAUAAAAGUUGACCUCCCGUCAUUUCUCUGGAUCCGAGUCCAUGGGUUUUCUGGAUGGUGGUUAAAGACCUGCUCUUCUAGUCGUCUUCCUUCUAGUCGCUGUAAAAAGUCAGUCCAUCCUGGCCGACUUCAGCACCUCUUCAUGACAACUUGUUGUGCCUCUGACCUGAUGGAAACUCCAGAAACUCGGGAAAACUCGUGGAGACUGGAAGAACUCGUGGAGACUCGAAGAACUCGUCAGGCGGGGGAAGGUGUGGUGGGUGGUGGGGGAGUAGAGGGGGGAGGCCGCCACCCACCUCCCCACCUACUCUCCGCCCUGACUCCACCCAGACUCUGCCUUGACUCCACCUUUGCUCCACCCAUGUGGGGGAACGGCAACUACGAUGCCAAAGGGAUGACGAAAUGAUGUUUUCUUCAUCUGAUCUGUAGCUCAGUGAGUUAAGGAUUUGCCUGUGGCGCUGCAGGUCGCUGGUUCAAGACCAGACCCUUCUUAAGUUUUCUCAAAAUCCUGACAAAGACAAAGAAUGAAAAGUGCCAGUGGUGGGUCUUGAACCUGUGACCUUCCACUUGGUAGUCACUCUUCUAACCCCCUGAGCUACUCACUCAGAUACUAAAUCUUCUUUUUUUGCGCAUUUAUCAUCUAUUUUUUGGCGUUUUCGACUUUUUUAAACUUGUGUCUCGUCUCAACCAUUUUUCUCAGGAGGUUGGGCUUCAGCCUUUUUGCUGGAGGGUUGAACCCUCAGUUCCAAGACUUUCCAAGCCUCCAGACCUCCCGAGUCCUCAGGACCUGAGCUUUCACACAGUCUGAGGGCUGAAAUUUUCUAAGUCCCACAGUAGUUCUCUGUUAGAUUUAACUUUCAGACAGUCCAAGGACUGAUAUCUUCGAAGUUCCUGAGUAGUUCUCUGUUAGUUUGAACGUUCAGACAGUCUGAGGACUGAAAUCCUAAAAGUUCUUGAGUAGUUCUCUGUUAGUUUGAACCUUCAGACAGUCUGAGGGCUGAAGUUUUAAAAGUUUCUCAGUACUUCUCUGUUAGUUUGAACUUUCUGGUUAACAGAAGCCUUAAAACUUGUGACCAUGAGUCUUGAUUUCACAUUUAGACCAUCCAUCUGAGUUCUUCUCAGACCUUCACCUGUGGGUUUUUUAGAAAUCCUCAACAAACUUUGAUUCUCUUCACUGAACAGUAAAGUUUGUGGAGAUCAGAAGGUAACAUUAGUUUGAUCCAUGCCUUCAACUACUAGUAGACUUUAUCUGGAAAGCAGUUUUCUGAAAUGAGUUCUUAGUAAAUCUGUCCACAAUCAAACCAAGAACAUAGAAAGAGGAAAUGUUUGAAGAAACAACUUGAUGUUU